AUGGAGCAGCUGCAGCACCAGCAGGAGCGGGCGAGGGAGGUGUACAGGGAGUGCCUGCGCAACCACGCGGCGAAGCUGGGCACCUACGCCUCCGAUGGCUGCUGCGAGUACACCCCCGACGACAGCCAGCCCGCCGCGCUCCUCUGCGCCGCCUGCGGCUGCCACCGCAACUUCCACCGCAAGGCAUUCCUCGACGGCGCGGCCUCUCCCGGCGCCGCCAGCCAGCACGCGCCGCUAAUGCUGCCCUCUCCCGGCGCCCCGCCGGGCUACAUGCACCACCACCUGGCAAUGGCCGGCCCCUCCGGGGUCGCCAUGGGCGGCGGCGACGGCGGCGGCGACGGCGGCGGGUCGCACAGCGGCGGGGGCAGCAGGCGGCGGACGCGGACCAAGUUCACGGACGAGCAGAAGGCGCGGAUGCUGCGCUUCGCCGAGCGGCUGGGGUGGCGGAUGCCCAAGCGCGAGCCCGGCCGCGCGCCCGGGGACGACGAGGUCGCGCGCUUCUGCCGGGAGAUCGGGGUCACCAGGCAGGUCUUCAAGGUCUGGAUGCACAACCACAAGGCCGGUGUCGGCGGCAGCGGGGGCGCCGGCGCCCAGACGUCGUCAUCGACCACGCGCGGCGGCGGAGGUGGAGGCGCGGGGGGCAUGUCGCCGGCGAUGGGUGGCGACGGUGAGGACGACGAGGAGGUGAGGGGCAGCGAGAUGUGCAUGUAG
rnacentral:rRNA from 1 species